ensembl:lncRNA
CUCCCCACGCCCCCGCCGGCGAGGUGAGAGCCAGGUCGGUCCGCCCGCCCGGCCCCGCGGCAGCCCGGCCCUUACCAGGGACAGCACUUUGUAGGUGUUGGGAUCCUUGCUCUUGCCGCCCGGAGGCUUCUCCGGCUCCUCAGCCACCUCCAUGGCCGGCAGCAUGGGCACAGCCGCAGUCUGCAGCCCGCCAUCAGCCGCCCCGACCCCGUCCAGGUGGUCCUCGUGGCCCUUCCCCGCUUGCUGCCCGUUCCCCUGCAUGGUGCCCGCGGCUCUGCCCUCCGCCCGCCCGGACACGGCUAUUAAUAUCCCGGCGGCCCGGUCCCGCCCCGCCCGCAGCGCGGACACCGGCGGGCCCCGCUCCCCUGCCGGCAGCGGCGUGGAGGAGGGAGCGGGAUGUUCCCCUCCUUCCCUGCCCUGCCCGCCUCGCUCGGUCACCCGGCUCGGCCGCCCCCCGCUUCCCGACCCCUUCCUGCAGGUGGCAGCGGGAUGCCCGUGGAAACCCCCUCAAUGCGAGGCAUCAGCCGAGCCCAGUGCCCGCACACCGGGGGCGCAGCGCAGCAGGCGGCUUCGUCGCCCGCCCAGGAGACACUGCGACUCCUUUGGGGUGAUAUGGUCUUUUCAGCCAGGAAAAGAGGACACUGAAGGGAGACAUCAUCCCGUGUUUACAACUUCUCGUGAAGAGAAGAGGAAAGGCAAGCACUGAUCUCUUCUCUGCAGCGACCAGCGACAGCACUUGAGGAAAUGGCCUGGAGUUAUAUCAGGGGAGGUUUAGAUUGGAUAUCAGGAAAAGGUUCCGCACGCAGAGGGUGGCUGGGCACUGGAACGGGCUUCCUAGGGAAGUAAUCACAGCACCAAGCCUGACAGAGCUCGAGAAGUCCUUAGACAAUGCACUCAGGCAGUUGGUGUGACUGUUGAGGAUGGUCCUGUGCCGGGUCAGGAGUUGGACUUGAUAAUCCUUGCGGGUCCCUUCCGGCUCAGCAUAUUCUCUGAUUCUGUGACUUUGGACUCACUGCCCCCAAGCCAGGCACUGCUCAGAGGGCUAGUGUUGUUGGGGUGAAAUCCAUGUUUGAUGCCCUUCAGGGCCUUUUAUUGGGACUGGCACCAUCUGGCUCCACAAUGUCACUUCCCAGUCUUUCCCACUAAAUUCAGCCCUGCUUGUUUGGUAAGACAGAGGUGUUUGUACACACCCUGACUGUCCAUGGGGAAAGGCAGUUCACCCCAUGUGUGUAAGUACAGCCCUGACUACGGGACUGGCUCUAGAUGUGGGUCAUUCCUCCUUUCUGUAAUAGAUCUGUGAGUGUUGAGUAGCAUCGAGACUUGCAAAGUAUGCCUAAGCUUAAAACUACUACAAGUAUUUCAUUAUCCAUAAUUCUUUAAGUUUUUAUACCAUAUACAUUUAUGUAUGUUGACAUUAGGUUUAGUCUUUCAGUUCUAAUGGGAUGGUGGAUUUGAUUUCCUAGGGCUUCAGGAGUUUACAUCACAUUUAUUUUAACUGUAAGUGUACUCAGAAAGGAGUGGCCCUUGCAUAGUUUCUGACAAAAAUCCAUAUUUUCUAAAAAAUAGCUACAGUGGAAUGAAAACUUCCUUUGGAAGUGAUCUUGAUCCCAGUUGAAAUGUUGUUGCUCUACUUUCUAUUUCAGUUGAGUUGCAAGAACAAGCUGUCAGUACAACUUCCCAUUAAAAAUAAUUGCUGAGAUGCAGCA